UUGAUCUGACUUGAUUUGUCAGGGAGCCAGAACUGCAGGCAAAUAGACGCCGGAGAAAUCAACCAAUCUUUUAAGCCAGCAGUAAUUGUUCCUCCUGUCGGCUGGCUAAAUGACUUGUGUCUGAGCAUUCCACCGUGGGCUGUCUCGAGUAAUCACUGUUGGUGCCAGACUCAUCACCUGGGGUGCCUGGUUUAAAUGUACCACCCUGAGAGCCAGAGAGGGCUUCUGGAAGCCCUUUCCACCUGCAGAAGGUGAAAACUGGAAGUGAGCUUUGGGAUCCUGGAGUACAGCUCUGUCCUUGUAAAGAGGCAGAACCGGAGGCCCAGAGAAAUUACGUGACUGGUCACUAGGAGAGGGAAGAAUGGUUGAUUAUACUCAAAUUCAAGUAUGAAGGGAAGAAACUCUAAACUGAAAUGAAGAACACUAGCAGAAACUUCAAAAUGUUUUUUACUUGAUCACAACAGAAGCUAAAAAUUCUGAUGGCCAAAAUCACAAAGACAAGGGACAUCUGGCUGGCUCAGUUAGAGGAGCAUGUACUCUUGAUCUUGGGGUCAUGGGUUUGAGCUCCACAUUGGGUGUAGAGAUCACUAAAACAAGUAAAUAAACUUUAAAAAACCAUGAAGACAAGAAAUAGCAUGAUAGCAAAGAAAAUACAGAUAAAAUGAUAACUGAAGAAGGAAAUUUGUGUGAAUUGGGACAUUCCAGGACAAGCGAUGGCAAAGCAGAAGGAAAAUGUAACGUUCCACUUAAGGACACGGACUACAAAAAGGUUAAUGAGUAUCAUUGAUGAAAAGGGUAUUUAAAAUUAACCAUUGCACAAGAAACCUGAAAUGCCGUGAGUCUUCUAGUUCACAGCUGAAGGAAACUGGAUAGAGCUUAUCCCAGAUUUGACAAAACUCUGAAAAUCUGAUGUGACAUUGAACAAGUUGGAAGCUGAGGAAAACUUCCCUAAAUGAUCAAUAAUAAAAAACUAUUUCUUGCAGAUUGAAUUAUGUUUUCCCUCUCUCUAUAGGUAGAAAGAUGACAGGAACCAUUGCUUAUCAUGUAAUGAAAUGGCCAAAAAUUUAGAAAAAUAAUAAAGAUGUGUGUUAUCAGUUCACUUGUAAACAUAUUUUAUCAUUUCCCCCCUGGAUUCUGUGAUGUUUGUGACUU